CUAGCUAUCUAUAUACAGAAAUAUAGUCUCACACACUCUCAUACACUCAAACAGACACUGCACACAUACAUGCAAACACACACACACAUGCAUACACACUCACCCACUCAGACACAUACUCGUUUCUAUCUGUCUGCUUGUCCAUCUAUCUAUAUACUCACACACAUACGCAUACUCACACACAUACGCAUACACACACACAUACACACACGUGCAUAUAUACCCACCCACCCAAACCCAUAUUCGUUUCUAUCUCUCUGCUUGUCCAUCUAUCUAUAUACACACACGGUCACACACAUGGUCUCACACACACACACACACAACACACACACACAUGCAUACACACUCACCCACUCAGACACAUACUCGUUUCUAUCUGUCUGCUUGUCCAUCUAUCUAUAUACACACACAUCUCACACACAUGCACACACACAGAGUCUCGCACAUGCACACACACACACUAAACACAUUUGAAGGUGAGUUGUUGUUGUUGUUUUCUAUUAGCAGGCAAAUUAAUUGCACUCACAUCACUGACAUGUGGAUGUAUGCAGACAUGGUGAUGCGUGGUUUGAAUAUGAAAUUGAAAUUUCUAUGACACAGGUUGGAAUACGAAAUAAUAUCAGUGGUUGUUAUUAUUAACUUAACCAGCAUUAAGAAUUUGUGACCUGGCAGAGUUGUUAGCAAGCUGGACAAAAUGCCUAGCAAUGAUCUGAGUUCAAAUCCUGCUGAGGUUGACUUUACGUUUUUUUUUCCUUUCAGGGUUAGGAAACUAAGUACCAGUUGAGCAUGGAGGUUGAUGUUAUCAACUCAGCCCCUUCCCUAAAAUUUCAGGCCUUGUGCCUAAAGAGAAAGGGUUACAUUAACCAACAUUAAAUGAUCUGGCUUCUGUGGAUUAAAGGUGUAAUAGGAACUGAAAUCCGUUGAUGUCUCACAGUGUGUUUUGCAUUACGGAUUAUCUUCUUAUCUUUUAUCUUUAACUCGCUUCCAUCAUUGAACCGUGGCCAUACUGGGGCACUGCCUUGAAUGCUUUAACUGGACAAAUCUAGCCCAGUACUUACUAUUUAAGUUUGAUACUUAUUGUAGUGGUCUUUUGUUGAACUGCUAGGUUAUGGGAAUGUAAACAAACCAACAGCUGUUCUAUAUUUAAGAGAUGAGGAGUUGAUGCAAUCGACUAACCUCCUGCCCAAAGUUGCUGGCCUUGUGCCAGAAUUAGAAACCAAUAUUUACUUAUGCUCUCCUCUUGUAUUUUGAGUUCGUACUUUGCCUAGGUCAUCCUUGCCAGUCGUCCUUCCAGGUUCAAUAAAAUUAAGUAAUUGCCAAAUAGAGUGGUUCGUUUAAUCAACCGUACCUUUCCUGAAAAAUAUGUAUUUUUGUGCCAAAAUUAGAAAUCAAUAUUAUAUAUGUUAAAGAUCAUUGGAAAAUACUCAAUAAAAUAAUGGUUUAAAAUUUUCUAGAAUCUGACUGAUUAAUGACACUUAACAUUUGAAUGUUUCAGAAUAAUGUUUUCUUGGUGAUGAUGAUGUUCUAAAAACAGAAACAAUCCCUGUAAUAAUAGGUACAUUAGGUAUG